UUGCACCAACCCUAUAAAUAUUGUAUCUUUUUAUACUGUGUUCACCAGUUUUGGAGCGAUUAUAGAAUACCCGGCCACUUUUGAAUUUUGAUAGUGUUUUCUUUUGGGGGAUACGGGGAUACGCAGUCAUUAAAAUGACGUAAUUAUUGGAGUAGUUUAAAAGGAGAAUGGGUAACUAUUAUUUUUCAAUGAUACGGGGAUACGGGGAUACGCAGUCGUUAAAAUGACGUAUUAUUCGAGUAGUUUAAGAGGAGAAUGGGUAACUAUUAUUUUUCGAUGAUACGGGGAUACGGGGAUACGCAGUCAUUAAAAUGACGUAAUUAUUCGAGUAGUUUAAAAGGAGAAUGGGUAACUAUUAUUUUUCAAUGAUACGGGGAUACGCAGUCAUUAAAAUGACGUAAUUAUUCGAGUAGUUUAAGAGGAGAAUGGGUAACUAUUAUUUUUCAAUGAUACGGGGAUACGCAGUCAUUAAAAUGACGUAAUUAUUUGAGUAGUUUAAAAGGAGAAUGGGUAACUAUUAUUUUUCAAUGAUACGGGGAUACGGGGAUACGCAGUCAUUAAAAUGACGUAUUAUUCGAGUAGUUUAAAAGGAGAAUGGGUAACUAUUAUUUUUCAAUGAUACGGGGAUACGCAGUCAUUAAAUUGACGUAAUUAUUUGAGUAGUUUAAAAGGAGAAUGGGUAACUAUUAUUUUUCAAUGAUACGGGGAUACGCAGUCAUUAAAAUGACGUAAUUAUUCGAGUAGUUUAAGAGGAGAAUGGGUAACUAUUAUUUUUCAAUGAUACGGGGAUACGCAGUCAAAUCGUGCUCAUUUGAUAUGCAAAAUUUAUACUAAUGAG